UCGAGCGGAAACGAGUUAACUGAACCUUCGGGGAACGUUAACGGCGUCGAGCGGCGGACGGGUGAGUAAUGCCUGGGAAGUUGCCCUGAUGUGGGGGAUAACCAUUGGAAACGAUGGCUAAUACCGCAUAAUAGCUUCGGCUCAAAGAGGGGGACCUUCGGGCCUCUCGCGUCAGGAUAUGCCCAGGUGGGAUUAGCUAGUUGGUGAGGUAAUGGCUCACCAAGGCGACGAUCCCUAGCUGGUCUGAGAGGAUGAUCAGCCACACUGGAACUGAGACACGGUCCAGACUCCUACGGGAGGCAGCAGUGGGGAAUAUUGCACAAUGGGCGCAAGCCUGAUGCAGCCAUGCCGCGUGUGUGAAGAAGGCCUUCGGGUUGUAAGGCACUUUCAGUCGUGAGGAAGGCGUUGUAGUUAAUAGCUGCAUCGUUUGACGUUAGCGACAGAAGAAGCACCGGCUAACUCCGUGCCAGCAGCCGCGGUAAUACGGAGGGUGCGAGCGUUAAUCGGAAUUACUGGGCGUAAAGCGCAUGCAGGUGGUUAGUUAAGUCAGAUGUGAAAGCCCGGGGCUCAACCUCGGAACUGCAUUUGAAACUGGCUGACUAGAGUACUGUAGAGGGGGGUAGAAUUUCAGGUGUAGCGGUGAAAUGCGUAGAGAUCUGAAGGAAUACCGGUGGCG
rnacentral:rRNA from 1 species